rnacentral:rRNA from 1 species
AUUGAACGCUGGCGGCAGGCCUAACACAUGCAAGUCGAACGAGUGGCGUACUGGUGAGUAAUGUCUUGGAAACUGUCUAUUGGAGGGGGAUAACUACUGUACACGGUAGCAAAUAACGCAUACCCUGCGAUCUGCCCAGAUGGGAUUAGCUAGUAGGUGGGGUAAAGGCUCACCUAGGCGACGAUCCCUAGCUGGUCUGAGAGGAUGACCGGCCACACUGUAACUGAGACACGGUCCAGACUCCGACGGUAGGCAGCAGUGGGGAAUAGUGCACAAUGGGCGCAAGCCUGAUGCAGCCAUGCCGCGUGUAUGAAGAAGGCCUUCGGGUUGUAAAGUACGUUCAGCGGGGAGGCGUUACCCGCAGAAGAAGCACCGGCUAACGCCGUGCCAGCAGCCGCGGUAAUAC